rnacentral:sRNA from 1 species
CUGAAGAAUAACAUAGAAGCUCCAACUCAAGCAGCUGCACACUAGCAUAAGCCCUCCUCUUAGGAUGUCCUCAUCAUGUCUGUGGAUCUUCUUUGCGUGCAG